rnacentral:rRNA from 1 species
UACGUAGGGUGCGAGCGUUAAUCGGAAUUACUGGGCGUAAAGCGUGCGCAGGCGGUUGUGCAAGACAGAUGUGAAAUCCCCGGGCUCAACCUGGGAAUUGCAUUUGUGACUGUACGGCUAGAGUGUGUCAGAGGGGGGUAGAAUUCCACGUGUAGCAGUGAAAUGCGUAGAGAUGUGGAGGAACACCGAUGGCGAAGGCAGCCCCCUGGGUCAAGAUUGACGCUCAUGCACGAAAGCGUGGGGAGCAAACAGG